UACGAAGGGGGCUAGCGUUGCUCGGAAUUACUGGGCGUAAAGCGCACGUAGGCGGCUUCUUAAGUCGGGUGGUGAAAUCCUGGAGCUCAACUCCAGAACUGCCUUCGAUACUGGGAGCUCGAGUCCGGGAGAGGUGAGUGGAACUGCGAGUGUAGAGGUGAAAUUCGUAGAUAUUCGCAAGAACACCAGUGGCGAAGGCGGCUCACUGGCCCGGUACUGACGCUGAGGUGCGAAAGCGUGGGGAGCGAACGAGG
rnacentral:rRNA from 1 species